rnacentral:rRNA from 1 species
AGUGAACGCUGGCGGCAGGCCUAACACAUGCAAGUCGAACGGCAGCACAGUGGAGCUUGCUCCAUGGGUGGCGAGUGGCGGACGGGUGAGGAAUACAUCGGAAUCUGCCCAGUCGUGGGGGAUAACAUAGGGAAACUUAUGCUAAUACCGCAUACGACCUACGGGUGAAAGCGGGGGAUCGCAAGACCUCGCGCGAUUGGAUGAGCCGAUGUCCGAUUAGCUAGUUGGCGGGGUAAUGGCCCACCAAGGCGACGAUCGGUAGCUGGUCUGAGAGGAUGAUCAGCCACACUGGAACUGAGACACGGUCCAGACUCCUACGGGAGACAGCAGUGGGGAAUAUUGGACAAUGGGCGCAAGCCUGAUCCAGCCAUGCCGCGUGGGUGAAGAAGGCCUUCGGGUUGUAAAGCCCUUUUGUCCGGAAAGAAAAGUCCCGGGUUAAUACCCUGGGGUGAUGACGGUACCGGAAGAAUAAGCACCGGCUAACUUCGUGCCAGCAGCCGCCGUAACAC